rnacentral:lncRNA from 1 species
ACAGGGAAGAGGUCAACCAGGAAAUGACCAUGUUAUUACAUCUAUCCCACAGUCUCUGUUGAACCACAUUAGUGGUAGGUCGAGGACAUGAGCCGUCAACAAAUCCAAUUAUGUUUUUAGCAGAUAAUGCAACAAUCAUCUUGCGCCUCCAACCCCCAUAGCCACUACCCGAGAAGGGAGUGGGGACAAGAGAGACCUAAGGCUGUAAAAUUCGCGGUUCCGAACCGGAACCGCGGUUCUGGCGGUUCUGGCGGUUCCGCGGUUUCGGUUCCGGCGGUUCCCCGGAACCGUGAUGGAGCGGUUCCACCCGUUGGAACCGCG